rnacentral:rRNA from 1 species
CCUACGGGAGGCAGCAGUGGGGAAUAUUGCGCAAUGGGCGAAAGCCUGACGCAGCGACGCCGCGUGAGGGAUGAAGGUCUUCGGAUCGUAAACCUCUGUCAGCAGGGAAGAACGGUCACUGUGCUAAUCAGCAGUGAAUUGACGGUACCUGCAAAGGAAGCACCGGCUAACUCCGUGCCAGCCGCCGCGGUAAUACGGCGGGUGCGCGCGUUAAUCGGAAUUACUGGGCGUAAAGCGCGCGUAGGCGGUAUGUCAAGUCAAGGGUGAAAUCCCCGCGCUCAACGUGGGAACUGCCUUUGAAACUGGCAAACUGGAGUGUGGGAGAGGAUAGUGGAAUUCCAGGUGUAGGAGUGAAAUCCGUAGAGAUCUGGAGGAACAUCAGUGGCGAAGGCGACUAUCUGGCACAUAACUGACGCUGAGGAGCGAAAGCGUGGGUAGCAAACAGGAUUAGAUACCCCUGUAGUC